GGCAUUGUGGCAGAGUGGUCUAAUGCGAUAGACUAGAAAUCUAUUUCCUUCGGGUAAGCUCAAUUCUCAAGGCCCACCGUUUCAGCACCCCGUACUAACAAUCUAUGCAGGAGCGUCUGUUCGAAUCAGGCCAAUGUCG